AUGCUGAACCAAACUUUUCCCUUGAAUGCUGCAGAUGCCAAUUUGAUACCCCAAAUUGAAAAUUUUGAUCCAUACAGAAAUUCAGUGAUUUAUUCUUACACUGAACAAAAUCAGCAAAGAGUGGAAAACACUACAGCGUCAUCUAACAACUUCUCUGCAUCAUUCCCAGAUGCAGGAACCGAAAUCUUUUCUUACACAACCUACAAUGAAAACUUCCCACUUCUAUAUAACUCGUCAAGUGGCUUUGUGGAAAUGCCCCCCGAGCAUUUAACCUCCUUUGCUAAUAGUGGCGAGAACAAGUCGUAUUACCAGGAAAAUGUCUAUCAUCCAGGCGAAGCAUUUGUGCAUUUGGAUAGUGCUGAAAAUCAUUUCAAUGGCUUUAAUAGUAACUCUGCCCAUAUCAGUGGACUUCCCAAUGAGGCACCUCUAGGUCAGUUUGUCUCAAGUGAUAAUGCGGCAUCCUAUCGUUGUGACAUCAAUGUUGAUGAAAAAAACUAUGGGCUCUCAGAUGGUAAUUCAGAUGAAGCUCAGCACGGUUCUCAUUUAAAUCCUGAGGAAGUUCCAGCUACUGCUGUGCCUACUUCAAAGGCUCUAGAUGAGUCACUUCAAGAUUUAGCAAGUCCGCGUGUACUAAGUGAUGCGCAACAAGAGUCUGAUUGGAAUACUAAUAUAAUAAAAGAAGAAUUACCAAGGAAAGACCGAGGGAAUGAAGAAGAGUUGUCAUAUUUUGCAGAAGGAGGGGACAGUCUAGUUGACGAGAACUUGUCAUCAGAGGAGGAAGGAAGUGACCCAGAAUGUGAAAGAUCUCUAUCUAUAAAUGAAGAAGAAUGCGGUGAAGAUACAUUUGAAGAAUCGUCUCUAGAAGUAAAUAAUUUAAAGCAUGAGGGGAUGUCAUCAACGGCAGAUCAGGGUUUGGUUAAAUCUGAUGAAGAUGAGACAGUGUUAAGCGAUGAUGAAGCAUCUGAGGAUGAAAUAGAAAACCAGAAGAGGCCUUUAACCAAAGAGGAAGUAAUUGACAGUGCAGAAGAGAGAGUACAAAAGAAAGCAAAAGUGAGGCUACUAGUCAAGUUAAGAGUGGUGUGGAAAAGCAGCCAGUUCAAGAAGAUGACAGUAUGA
rnacentral:lncRNA from 1 species